rnacentral:lncRNA from 1 species
GAAAAAGGACAAGAAAAAGGCUGUAUGUUAAACAUGUGUCCAUUCUACUGAACUCCCUGGCCCCCACCUUUGCAGCGCUCCAGGAUCGGAGUCAAAUCAGUUUUCAACUUGCAAUCAAUUCAGGAAAUCGUCAUAGAAAACAAUGGACAAUUUUCAAGACUUGUUGAAUUUCAACUCUCUUCCCAAGUUGAACAUUAAAUUGACCCCAAAUCCCCAGCACCCCACACCCUUUUCCCAAAUCCUGUCCAUUUCUCAACUCCAGUAAUGAUGGCACCAUCCCAACUAUAAGAUAUCG